AAUCAACGCUGGCGGCGUGCCUCAGACAUGCAAGUCGAACGCGAAAGUCUCCUUCGGGGGACAAGUAGAGUGGCGCACGGGUGAGUAACACGUAGGUAAUCUACCUUUGGAUGGGGAAGUAACAACCGGAAACGGUUGCUAAUACCGCAUAAUGCAGCGGCACCUAAUGGUGACAGUUGUUAAAGCGGGGGAUCAAAGACCUCGCGUCUGAAGAGGAGCCUGCGGCGGAUUAGCAGUUGGUAAGGUAAUGGCUUACCAAGGCUACGAUCUGUAACCGGUCUAAGAGGACGGUCGGUCACACUGACACUGAAUAACGGGUCAGACUCCUACGGGAGGCAGCAGUCGGGAAUUUUGGGCAAUGGGCGAAAGCCUGACCCA
rnacentral:rRNA from 1 species